rnacentral:pre_miRNA from 1 species
UCUUGUGGAUGAGCAAAGAAAGUGGUUUAUUGAGAUGGGAUUUACUCCUGGUGAAGAUGCUGUGAA